GACGAACGCUGGCGGCGUGCUUAACACAUGCAAGUGGAGCGACGAACCGGGGCUUGCCCCGGGGCAGAGCCGCGAACGGGUGAGUAACACAUGGGUAACCCACCCCGAUGACCGGGACAACCCGAGGAAACUCGGGCUAAUACCGGAUGUGCUCCUUGACCUCGAGGUCAAGGCGUAAAGAUAGCUUCGGCCUUCGCAUCGGGACGGGCCCGCGGCCCAUUAGCUUGUUGGUGGGGUAAAGGCCUACCAAGGCGACGANGGGUAGCUGGUCUGAGAGGACGAUCAGCCACACUGGGACUGAGACACGGCCCAGACUCCUACGGGAGGCAGCAGUGGGGAAUCUUGCGCAAUGCGCGAAAGCGUGACGCAGCAACGCGCGUGGGGAAGAC
rnacentral:rRNA from 1 species